GAUGAACGCUGGCGGCGUGCCUAAUACAUGCAAGUCGAGCGAACAGACGAGAGUGCUUGCACUCUCUGACGUUAGCGGCGGACGGGUGAGUAACACGUGGGUAACCUACCUAUAAGACUGGGAUAACUUCGGGAAACCGGAGCUAAUACCGGAUAAUAUUUAGCUUCGCAUGAAGCAAUAGUGAAAGACGGUUCUGCUGUCACUUUUAGAUGGACCCGCGGUGUAUUAGCUAGUUGGUGCGGUAACGGCUCACCAAGGCAACGAUACAUAGCCGACCUGAGAGGGUGAUCGGCCACACUGGGACUGAGACACGGCCCAGACUCCUACGGGAGGCAGCAGUGGGGAAUCUUCCGCAAUGGACGAAAGUCUGACGGAGCAAUGCCGCGUGAGUGAAGAAGGUUUUCGGAUCGUAAAACUCUGUUGUAAGGGAAGAACAAGUACGUUAGUAACUGAACGUACCUUGACGGUACCUUACCAGAAAGCCACGGCUAACUACGUG
rnacentral:rRNA from 1 species